rnacentral:tRNA from 2 species
GCCUUCGUAGCUCAGUUGGUAGAGCAGCUCGCUCUUAACGAGACGGUCGCAGGUUCGAAUCCUGCCGGGGGCACCA